AUGAGGUAUGUGGUAGAUGAGGUAUGUGGUAGAUGGGUAUGUGGAACAUACCCCAUCUACCACAUACCUCAUCUACCACAUACCUCAU
rnacentral:pre_miRNA from 1 species